CCUACGGGUGGCAGCAGUGAGGAAUAUUGGUCAAUGGGCGCGAGCCUGAACCAGCCAAGUAGCGUGAAGGAUGACUGCCCUACGGGUUGUAAACUUCUUUUAUAAAGGAAUAAAGUGCGGCACGUGUGCCCUUUUGUAUGUUCUUUGUGAAUAAGGAUCGGCUAACUCCGUUCCAGCAGCCGCGGUUAUUCGGAGGGUCCGAAAGGUAUCCGGGUUUAUUGGGUUUUAAGGGAGCGUUGAGGGGGUGUUCAGUCCGGUGUGAAAGAUUGCGGCUCAACCGUAAAAUUGCAAUUGAUACUGGCAGUCUUGAGUACAGUAGAGGUAGGCGGAAUUCGUGGUGUAGCGGUGAAAUGCUUAGAGAUCACGAAGAACUCCGAUUGCGAAGGCAGCUUACUAAACUGCAACUGACAUUGAUGCUCGAAAGUGUGGGUAUCAAACAGGAUUAGAUACCCCUGUAGUC
rnacentral:rRNA from 1 species